UUUUGUGCCCAGAAUUAGACACUGGCUGGUAUCCGCGAUGGUGUUACACUACUGUAAUGUAUCACCGGGUGGAAACUUGCAAGUGUCUCCAACUGGAUU
rnacentral:pre_miRNA from 16 species